UCGGACAUGGUGUAUGGUACACCGCCUCUUGUCAUGUGUGACAAGAUUUUAUGUUGGAGGCAGACUGGGGUUCGACUCCCCGUGUCCGAC